CCUACGGGUUGCAGCAGUAGGGAAUCUUCCGCAAUGGACGAAAGUCUGACGGAGCAACGCCGCGUGAGUGAUGAAGGCUUUCGGGUCGUAAAACUCUGUUGUUAGGGAAGAACAAGUGCUAGUUGAAUAAGCUGGCUCCUUGACGGUACCUAACCAGAAAGCCACGGCUAACUACGUGCCAGCAGCCGCGGUAAUACGUAGGUGGCAAGCGUUAUCCGGAAUUAUUGGGCGUAAAGCGCGCGCAGGUGGUUUCUUAAGUCUGAUGUGAAAGCCCACGGCUCAACCGUGGAGGGUCAUUGGAAACUGGGAGACUUGAGUGCAGAAGAGGAAAGUGGAAUUCCAUGUGUAGCGGUGAAAUGCGUAGAGAUAUGGAGGAACACCAGUGGCGAAGGCGACUUUCUGGUCUGUAACUGACACUGAGGCGCGAAAGCGUGGGGAGCAAACAGGAUUAGAUACCCCCGUAGUC
rnacentral:rRNA from 1 species